CCCCCACGCAACAACGCCGCGUGGAGGAAGAAGGUCUUCGGAUUGUAAACUCCUGUCUUCCGGGACGAUAAUGACGGUACCGGAGGAGGAAGCCACGGCUAACUACGUGCCAGCAGCCGCGGUAAUACGUAGGUGGCGAGCGUUGUCCGGAAUUACUGGGCGUAAAGGGCGCGUAGGCGGAUUUUUAAGUCAGAUGUGAAAACCCAGGGCUUAACUCUGGGAGUGCAUUUGAAACUGGAUAGCUUGAGUGCAGGAGAGGUAAGUGGAAUUCCUAGUGUAGCGGUGAAAUGCGUAGAUAUUAGGAGGAACACCAGUGGCGAAGGCGACUUACUGGACUGUAACUGACGCUGAGGCGCCGAAAGCGUUGGGGAGCAAACAGGAUUAGAUACCCUGGUAAUCCACGCCUGUUAAACGAUGGAUACUAGUUUUGGGAAGUUAUCGACCCUUCCCGUUGCCGCAAUUAAACGCCAAUAAUUUCCCCCCCUGGGGAAUUACGGCCGCCAGGGUUGAAACUCCAAAGGAAUUGACGGGGGCCCGCACAACCACCGACAUGUUGUUUUAUUCCGAACCACCCGAAAACCUUACCAAACUUACUCCCCCUGAUAUCCCGUAUGGAAAUUCCCUCCCGGCCAAAAACGGUUGUGCUGGUGUCCUCCCCCCUUCCUAAAAUUGGUUAAUCCCCCCACAACCACCCUAUUCCC
rnacentral:rRNA from 1 species